AUCUUAAUGCUGGCUCAGUUGGUUAGAGCGUGAUGCUGAUAAUGCCAAGGUAGCAGCUUUAAUCCCUGGACGGGACA